AGGCGGCAGUGGGGAAUAUUGGCCAAUGGGCGCAAGCGUGAUCCAGCAAUGCCGCGUGAGUGAUGAAGGCCUUGGGGUUGUAAAGCUAUUUUACCCGUGAUGAUAAUGACGGUAGCGGGAGAAUAAGCCCCGGCUAACUCCGUGCCAGCAGCCGCGGUAAUACGGAGGGGGCUAGCGUUGUUCGGAAUUACUGGGCGUAAAGCGCACGUAGGCGGCUUUGUAAGUUAGAGGUGAAAGCCCCGAGCUCAACUCCAGAACUGCCUUUAAGACUGCAUCGCUUGAAUCCAGGAGAGGUGAGUGGAAUUCCGAGUGUAGAGGUGAAAUUCGUAGAUAUUCGGAAGAACACCAGUGGCGAAGGCGGCUCCCUGGACUGGUAUUGACGCUGAGGUGCGAAAAGCGUGGGGAGCAAACAGGAUUAGAUACCCUGGUAGUCCACCGCCGUAAACGAUGAUAACUAGCUGUCCGGGGAUUUUCUCUCCGGGUGGCGCAGGUAAC
rnacentral:rRNA from 1 species